ACCGGCGCACGGGUGAGUAACGCGUAUGCAACCUGCCUGAUACCGGGGUAUAGCCCAUGGAAACGUGGAUUAACACCCCAUAGUACUUUUAUCCUGCAUGGGAUGUGAGUUAAAUGUUCGAGGUAUCGGAUGGGCAUGCGUCCUAUUAGUUAGUUGGCGGGGUAACAGCCCACCAAGACGAUGAUAGGUAGGGGUUCUGAGAGGAAGGUCCCCCACAUUGGAACUGAGACACGGUCCAA
rnacentral:rRNA from 1 species